rnacentral:rRNA from 1 species
UACGAAGGGGGCUAGCGUUGUUCGGAAUUACUGGGCGUAAAGCGCACGUAGGCGGGUCGAUCAGUCAGGGGUGAAAUCCCAGGGCUCAACCCUGGAACUGCCUUUGAUACUGUCGAUCUGGAGUAUGGAAGAGGUGAGUGGAAUUCCGAGUGUAGAGGUGAAAUUCGUAGAUAUUCGCAAGAACACCAAUGGCGAAGGCAGCUCGCUGGGACGGUACUGACGCUGAGACGCGAAAGCGUGGGGAGCAAACAGG